AAGAUUAAAACAGAAUUACAAUUAGCAUACUAAUAAAGUAAUGGAAUCAAAACCAAAAUUCAAUGAAAUUAGAGUUGUUGGUAAGUGAGCUCGUCGGACCAAGCUUGUCGACUUAACCUAUUACAAGUGUUACUCCGAUUGUCAACCCCUUCCUCUGAUAGACCGGAGGUAUUUAUAGUGUCCCGUGAUUGAUCUUGGACCUUAUGGGCCACCCGGCCCCCCUGCGUCUUCGGGCCCAUUCGUACGUCUGGCCCUCGUCCAUGGUACCAACAAGAGUACUAAAAAUUUAUGAGUACUAAACUUCUGAAAAGAUGAGAUGUGACUGUUGAAAUCAGAGUUCUCUAACACCUCUGCCUCCGACCUGUCCUCUCACCGGCGAUCGGACCGCAAUGUUAAAACCUCCAUUUACCUUCUCAGCCUUCUGUUGAUUUACCUUAGUUCACAUACCCUUAUCGUCGACCUCCAUGGCGGUAUUCUUUAUGGAAGAUGAAGACCGUAAGAAGAACCUGCAAAUAGUACCUAAAAUAGUAGAUUAAAAGUAGGAAAAUUAGUUUUUUAAUAUUAAAAUAUAAUAAAAUUUGAAAGUUUGAUAAAUCUUCUCUCUCGUGAGCUGAAACAAUCCUAGACCGAAUUUACCGAAUUGUUUGAGAGCAAUGACCUAAUUUGUUUAAAUCGUCCCACCUUGUAAAGUUUUAACGAUCUAGAUUUUGGGAGACUAAAAACUUCUUUGGAAUAAAUGCAGAUCACCUGUCCGAAGAUGGAAGUCUCCGAUCAACAGAUCCGAGUUCGAUCUUUGAUUGAGAAACGGAGCAGCGCUACCACUACGUAGCUUUGAGGAAUUCCGACGGGAGUACUAAAUUCGGAAUUGGAGACGAACGCUGGUAUAGGAAGAACUUGCCGGAAACUGACCUUGACUCCGAGAAGAGAUCGAACGGAGAAAAGUAAGACGCGAGUUCUGGAAACUGGAGAAUCGCUGGAAAUUAGCCCUCUGAUUUCAGUAGGGAAAAACUUGAACUUUAUUUCAUAUCCUUAAAAAAAUUACAUGGUGUCCUAUAUAUAUGGAGAUUACAUGUGUGUGCGGAAUUGAAAAUUCUCAACUAACAGAAUUAAUGGAAAUUAUUAACUACUAUUUGACUUACCUAGCAGACAUGUCGAAGUCUUUAAACUUCUUUGGUAGACGUCGGUUCCUGAUAUGACGACUUUCCUCCAAUUCUUCUUCCUCCUCGAUAUCAAUAUCCUCCUCCUCCUCUGUAGAUUCUUCAAUUUCUUUAUAUCCUGU
rnacentral:lncRNA from 1 species